rnacentral:tRNA from 4 species
ACUUUUAAAGGAUAAAAGUAAUCC